GCUGUGGCUGAGGCUGCUGCGGCUGAGGCUGCUGCUGCUGAGGUUGCUGCUGCGGCUGAGGCUACUGCUGCGGCUGAGGCUGCUGCUGCUGAGGCUGCAGCUGAUGCUGCUGCUGAGGCUGCUGGGGAGCAGCUCUGGCAGCGCGUACGGCCUCCCCGCGUGGCCCGGCAGUCGGCACUCGCGCCGAGCCAGGAGGGAUACCCCAUGGACGAAUCGAUUCAUGGACCCCCAUUGUCGGUUCGGUUCCACGAGAUCGAAUAACGCAAAAGUACGGGGAGGGGGAGUCUCACAUCUGGUGUGCCGCUGGACGGGAGGUGACGCGCGAGGCCUGGCAGCUCAGACAGAGCCCCCAACACCGCCGCCACCUCACCGCCACUGUUCAGUGCCUUACAACUACUGCCUUAACUGAAAGAGUUUUAUAAAUAUAAAUAUAUUUUGAAAAUAAUUAUAUAUUAAUCGAAUGUAUUGCCAGCAACUGUUAUUCUUAAAAUAGGCCGACAGUACCUUUAAAAAGUGUAUACGCUUGUGUGACUCAAGGUAGACUGUUGAAGGGAAACGCAGGAUAAUGAGCGUGGCGAAAUAUCGAGGGCCAGAGUUGACGACUCUCAUCGGGCCCACGUGGCCCCUUUGGAGCGCCGCCUCUCCCACGCCUUUGAUUUUGUGUUGUUGUUGUUGUCUCGCAAAGCAGCGAGCGGCCACGGCUCACAUCCGCACGCGCCCGGCGUGCAUGCCACGUGACCACUACACUGCACCUAUUUACAACGCUCUCAGCCUUGCCCAAACCACUAGUAGCUCGGCAGAGCUGAGAGGGCAGCAGUGUUGUUGUUUAGGCCGACGUAGGCAUCAUCAUAAACGGGCAGCGGUGAAACAGAGACAAUUGUAGGCUGGCUUCGGUCACAUUAGGACUCAUCGGUUGUACAUAUAUGGGCGCCCAUCUCUCUCUCUCUCUCUGGACCUCACGUGAACUCAUGACCAUCGGGCUACCCUCGACCCAGCCCCUGGGUUCUUGCUGUUUUCAUAUCGCAGUGAGGGAAGUCUUCCAGCUGUGUCGCUGCGGUUUCCCUAGAGAGCCCCUCCGCGUGUUCCUGCACGCAACGGCGAGUCCGGCAUAAGGGAUGUCACCCGCCCUGGGAUGUCACCCGCCCUGGGAUGUCACCGGGUCUGGGAUGUCACCCGCCCUGGGAUGUCAUCGGGUCUGGGAUGUCACCCGCCCUGGGAUGUCAUCGGGUCUGGGAUGUCGCCCGCCCUGGGAUGUCACCCGCCCUGGGAUGUCACCCGCCCUGGGAUGUCACCCGCCCUGGGAUGUCACCGGGCCUGGGAUGUCACCGGGUCUGGGAUGUCACCGGGUCUGGGAUGUCACCGGGUCUGGGAUGUCACCUGCCCUGGGAUGUCAUCGGGUCUGGGAUGUCACCCGCCCUGGGAUGUCACCGGGUCUGGGAUGUCACCCGUUCUGGGAUGUCACCCGCCCUGGGAUGUCACCGAUUCUGGGAUGUCACCGCGUGACUGCGAGGGAGCACUGCCGGUUGCGGCCGCGUUGUUGUUCGCGGCAGGCCAGACGAAUUGACGGCGGCGCUCGAUUCAUAUCAGGGCUGAAAACGCGUUGCAUGGUAUUGGCCAAAUAUCUCAAUGCAAUGUACUCCAUACGGGAUAUUUCUUUUUACUCAGCGAGGCUUUUCCGUGAGGAUAGAGAACAUUCGGAUGAAUAUAAAGCCUCGCCUAAAUUGGUGGUAAUUCUGAGGACAGGCCGGCCCCAGUGGUGGAAAUGUGGAAUUUCCACCACUGGCUCUGGGCCCUCUCGAGACGGAGAGAGGGAGGGAUGCGCGUGAGGGCGGCACCCCGCGGGGCGGUGCUGGCGAGAAUUCCUCCCUGGGGCCUCGCGCGAGUUUUGGUGACAACGCGACGACCUUCUCCACCAUCGCCAACAACGUGUGGUGUGAGAGACAGGUCCACCCGGGCCCUUCUCGUGGGGUGUGAGAGACAGGUCCACCCGGGACUUCUCGCCCUGGCGGGGUCACUUUCCAUCCCAAAUGGAACCCCUCGGCCCUGGCGCGCGCUGCGGCUGUGGUGGGGUCUCCGCUCCGAGGCAGCUCGCGUUUCUUGUUUGCGCAACCGCGCGCACACACACAGACGAUGCCCUUGUAUCUUGUACAUACAUGUGGUUUAGAGUUUAAACAUACAUCAAUAAAGGCGUAAUCAUUCGCACGU